UUUCUCACUCUCCAGCUACUCCACUGGCAACUUCCAACAAUUUGUCAAAGUGACCACUUGCAUGCUCUUGCCAGUCUAUGGCUCCAGUUGCUUCUGUUCCAGGAAGAAGCAAAGAAGUCUAAGUUCUUUGGAGUAAGAUGCUCUCAAAUGCCUAGGAACACUGAUCUCCUAACUUGUCUUCCUGCUUUGAGUGUCCCUCUGAGGUUAAAGUUCCUGCCUCAGUCUCCAACAAUGACUAUAAGCCUCUCUGGGCAAGAUCCACGUCUUACUCAUUUUUGUGUCUGCAGUUUAGUUCCUGGUUCAUUGUAGGUUCUCAAUAAACGUUUGUUAGAAUGAGUUGAUCUCUUGGAUCCAGUGCCCCAGAAAGAUAUGUCAUUUCCACUGCUGCCCACUGAGGAGUGCCACUGGAGAUGAUCUCACAACAAAGAGAGGGGGAGAGGCUGCUCCUCCCGUCAGAAGAUGGAGACUGCUUCCUUGCCCUUCAAUCCAAGCUGGCUCAUGACUUGCUUCAAUGAAUAGGAAAUGGCAGAAGUGAUGCUCUGAGGCUUCUGGGCCUAGACUUUAAGAGGUGUUGCCCCUUUCCUUUUUCCCUCUUGGGAUCCAGCCUACCACAUAGAGAAGUUUGGGUUGACAACUAAAUGUGAGAGAGAGACAGACAGAGAGAAGAGGGAGAGCUGAUUCAGCUAGACCUUAGUCAUUCCAGCCAUCCUAGCUGAAGCACUAGCAUGUGAAAGAAGCCACCUUCUAACCUAUCAAUCAGAGCCCCCAAUUUUACUGACCUCAGUCAACACCAUGUGGAACAGAACUACCCCAGGGAGCCCAACCAACCCAUACAAUCAUGAGAAAUUAAAAACUGAUGUUGUAGCCUCCUGAGUUUUAAGGUAGUUUGUUACACAAAAAUACUGGAAUUUUGACCCACCUUCACCUCCAAUGCCAACCUAGUAAACCUGGAUAUAUCUUUCAAAAUUUGGCUCAAGUGUCAACUCUUUCAUGAACCCUCUGUAUCCUUUUCUUGCUCAUUCAAGCCCUAUUUUCUCUUCUCCUCCCCAAAAUUCCAUAGUACUUUGUAUUACAAACUAUGUGCUUACAACCCCCAAAGUCUCUGGGCAUCCAGAAGGCAGAGAUUUGGCUUAAUUCAUUUUUGCCUCUGCCUAGCCUAACACCCGGCACAUUUAGAUAUUUAGUUAUUGUUUGCUGAAUGAAUGGAUGCAUGAAGAAGAAAAUUUAACAGAUGAUAUCUACAGGCACAUCUGGCUCCAAAAUUGAAUCAUGUCAUCUAGCAAUGCUCAGUAAAGUUAACAUAAGCAAUUUC
rnacentral:lncRNA from 10 species